GCUGGGCACGGUGGCUCAAGCCUGUAAUCCCAGCUACUCAGAAGGCUGCGGCAGAAGAAUUGCUUGAAUCCGGGAGGCGGAGAUUGCAGUGACCCGAGAUUCCGCGACUGCACUCCAGCCUGGGCGACAGCGCGAGACUCCCUCUCAAAAAAAAAAAAAAAAAAAAAAAAAAAANNNNNNNNNNUUUUUUUUUUUUUUUUUUUUUUUUUUUUGAGAGGGAGUCUCGCGCUGUCGCCCAGGCUGGAGUGCAGUCGCGGAAUCUCGGGUCACUGCAAUCUCCGCCUCCCGGAUUCAAGCAAUUCUUCUGCCGCAG
rnacentral:SRP_RNA from 1 species